AACGAACGCUGGCGGCAUGCCUAACACAUGCAAGUCGAACGAGACCUUCGGGUCUAGUGGCGCACGGGUGCGUAACGCGUGGGAACCUGCCCUUAGGUUCGGAAUAACUCCCCGAAAGGGGUGCUAAUACCGGAUAAUGUCUUCGGACCAAAGAUUUGUCGCCUGUGGAUGGGCCCGCGUUGGAUUAGCUAGUUGGUAGGGUAAAAGCCUACCAAGGCGACGAUCCAUAGCUGGUCUGAGAGGAUGACAAGCCACACUGGGAAUGAGACACGGCAGACUCCUACGGGAGGGAGCAGUGGGGAAUAUUGGACAAGGGGGGAAAGCCUGACACAGCAAUGCCGCGUGAGUGAUGAAGGCCGUAGGGUUGUAAAGCUGUUUUAGCCGGGAUGAUAAUGACAGUACCGGGAGAAUAAGCACCGGCUAACUACGUG
rnacentral:rRNA from 1 species